rnacentral:rRNA from 1 species
AUUGAACGCUGGCGGCAUGCCUUACACAUGCAAGUCGAACGGCAGCACGGGAGCAAUCCUGGUGGCGAGUGGCGAACGGGUGAGUAAUAUAUCGGAACGUGCCCAGUCGUGGGGGAUAACGCAGCGAAAGCUGUGCUAAUACCGCAUACGAUCUACGGAUGAAAGCGGGGGAUCGCAAGACCUCGCGCGAUUGGAGCGGCCGAUAUCAGAUUAGCUAGUUGGUGAGGUAAAGGCUCACCAAGGCGACGAUCUGCAGCUGGUCUGAGAGGACGAACGGCCACACUGGGACUGAGACACGGUCCAGACUCCUACGGGAGGCAGCAGUGGGGAAUUUUGGACAAUGGGCGAAAGCCUGAUCCAGCAAUGCCGCGUGCAGGAUGAAGGCCUUCGGGUUGUAAACUGCUUUUGUACGGAACGAAACGGUGAGCUCUAAUACAGUUUGCUAAUGACGGUACCGUAAGAAUAAGCACCGGCUAACUACGUGCCAGCAGCCGCAGUAA